GGAUCACAAUGAGGACCAGUCCCUUUGUGUUUCCAACCUAUUGUCCGUGGUUUAACAUCCCAGUCAAAGGAAGGAUUGAUAUUGAGGAAGCUGCUUCUCAGGGCU